AUUGAACGCUGGCGGCAGGCCUAACACAUGCAAGUCGAGCGGAUGAAGGGAGCUUGCUCCUGGAUUCAGCGGCGGACGGGUGAGUAAUGCCUAGGAAUCUGCCUGGUAGUGGGGGAUAACGUCCGGAAACGGGCGCUAAUACCGCAUACGUCCUGAGGGAGAAAGUGGGGGAUCUUCGGACCUCACGCUAUCAGAUGAGCCUAGGUCGGAUUAGCUAGUUGGUGGGGUAAAGGCCUACCAAGGCGACGAUCCGUAACUGGUCUGAGAGGAUGAUCAGUCACACUGGAACUGAGACACGGUCCAGACUCCUACGGGAGGCAGCAGUGGGGAAUAUUGGACAGUGGGCGAAAGCCUGAUACAGCCAUGCCGCGUGUGUGAAGAAGGUCUUCGGAUUGUAAAGCACUUUAAGUUGGGAGGAAGGGCAGUAAGUUAAGACCUUGCUGUUUUGACGUUACCAACAUAAUAAGCACCGGCUAACUUCGU
rnacentral:rRNA from 1 species